rnacentral:rRNA from 1 species
GGGUCAGUAGGUUGGUCGUGCCACCGGUACGUACUGGUCUAACUGAUUCCUCCUUCCUGAAGAACCGUAAUGCCAUUAAUUUGGUGUUGCGGGGAAACAGGACUGUUACUUUGAAAAAAUUAGAGUUUUUAAAGCAAGCUAACGCUUGAAUACAUUAGCAUGGAAUAAUGAAAUAGGACGAUCGAUCCUAUUUUGUUGGUUUCUAGGAUUGACGUA